UACGUAGGCAGCGAGCGUUUGUUCGGAGUUACUGGGCGUAAAGGGUGUGUAGGCGGUUCUUUAAGUUUGGUGUGAAAUCUCCCGGCUCAACCGGGAGGGUGCGUCGAAUACUGAGGGACUAGAGUGCGGGAGAGGAAAGUGGAAUUCCUGGUGUAGCGGUGAAAUGCGUAGAUAUCAGGAGGAACACCGGUGGUGUAGACGGCUUUCUGGACCGUAACUGACGCUGAGACACGAAAGCGUGGGUAGCAAACAGG
rnacentral:rRNA from 1 species